GAAAGGUGGGACCCCACUAGGUUGUGA
rnacentral:sRNA from 1 species